rnacentral:rRNA from 1 species
GUGCUAUACAUGCAAGUCGAGCGAACGGACGAGAGUGCUUGCACUCUCUGAUGUUAGCGGCGGACGGGUGAGUAACACGUGGGUAACCUACCUAUAAGACUGGGAUAACUUCGGGAAACCGGAGCUAAUACCGGAUAAUAUUUAGCUUCGCAUGAAGCAAUAGUGAAAGACGGUUCUGCUGUCACUUAUAGAUGGACCCGCGGUGUAUUAGCUAGUUGGUGAGGUAACGGCUCACCAAGGCAACGAUACAUAGCCGACCUGAGAGGGUGAUCGGCCACACUGGGACUGAGACACGGCCCAGACUCCUACGGGAGGCAGCAGUAGGGAAUCUUCCGCAAUGGACGAAAGUCUGACGGAGCAACGCCGCGUGAGUGAAGAAGGUUUUCGGAUCGUAAAACUCUGUUGUAAGGGAAGAACAAGUACGUUAGUAACUGAACGUACCUUGACGGUACCUUACCAGAAAGCCACGGCUAACUACGUGCCAGCAGCCGCGGUAAUACGUAGGUGGCAAGCGUUAUCCGGAAUUAUUGGGCGUAAAGCGCGCGUAGGCGGUCUCUUAAGUCUGAUGUGAAAGCCCCCGGCUCAACCGGGGAGGGUCAUUGGAAACUGGGAGACUUGAGUGCAGAAGAGGAGAGUGGAAUUCCAUGUGUAGCGGUGAAAUGCGCAGAGAUAUGGAGGAACACCAGUGGCGAAGGCGGCUCUCUGGUCUGUAACUGACGCUGAGGUGCGAAAGCGUGGGGAUCAAACAGGAUUAGAUACCCUGGUAGUCCACGCCGUAAACGAUGAGUGCUAAGUGUUGGGGGG